GCCAGCAGCCGCGGUAAUACCGGCGGCUCGAGUGGUGGCCACUUUAUUGGGCUUAAAGCGUUCGUAGCUGGGUUAUUAAGUCCCUUGGGAAAUCCGACAGCUUAACUGUCGGGCGUCUAAGAGAUACUGGUAAUCUUGGAACCGGGAGAGGUGAGGGGUACUUCGGGGGUAGGAGUGAAAUCCUGUAAUCCUCGAGGGACCACCUGUGGCGAAGGCGCCUCACCAGAACGGCUUCGACAGUGAGGGACGAAAGCUGGGGGAGCAAACCGGAUUAGAUACCCGGGUAGUCCCAGCCGUAAACGAUGUGCGUUAGGUGUAUCGGUGACCACGAGUCACCGAGGUGCCGAAGGGAAACCGUGAAACGUACCGCCUGGGAAGUACGGUCGCAAGGCUGAAACUUAAAGGAAUUGGCGGGGGAGCACCACAACAGGUGGAGCCUGCGGUUUAAUUGGACUCAACGCCGGAAAUCUCACCGGAUAAGACAGCAGAAUGAUUGCCGGGCUGAAGACUCUGCAUGACUAGCUGAGUAGUGGUGCAUGG
rnacentral:rRNA from 1 species